rnacentral:rRNA from 1 species
GACGAACGCUGGCGGCGUGCCUAAUACAUGCAAGUCGACCUUAGUGGCGAACGGGCUAGUAACCCGCGGGUAACCUGCCCAUCAGAAGGGGACAACACUUGGAAACAGGCGCGAAUACCGUCUACUGAUGGAUGGACCCGCGGGGCAUUAGCGAGUUGGUGAGGUAACGGCUCACCAAGGACACGGUGCAGAGCCGGCCUAGGAGGAUGAUCAGCCACGUUGGAACUGAGACACGGCCCAGACUCCGACGAGAGGCAGCAGUAGGGAAUAUUCGGCGAUGGACGAAAGUCUGACCGAGCAACGCCACGUGAGUGAAGAAGGUUUUCGGGUCGUAAAGCUCUGUUGUUAGAGAAGCGUUAUCUAGACAGAAAGCCACGGCUAACUACGUGCCAGCAGCCGCGGUAAUUC